GGCCUGGUGGUCUAGUAGUAUGAUUCCUUGUUAGGGAGCUUGUGCGCUUAUCGAGGAGGUCCCGGGUUCAAUUCCCGGCCAGGCCC